rnacentral:rRNA from 1 species
CGGCCAGACUCCUACGGGAGGCAGCAGUGAGGAAUAUUGGUCAAUGGGCGGGAGCCUGAACCAGCCAAGUCGCGUGAGGGAAGACGGUCCUAUGGAUUGUAAACCUCUUUUGUCGGGGAGCAAAGAGAUCACGUGUGGCCAAAAGCGAGAGUACCCGAAGAAAAAGCAUCGGCUAACUCCGUGCCAGCAGCCGCGGUAAUACGGAGGAUGCGAGCGUUAUCCGGAUUUAUUGGGUUUAAAGGGUGCGUAGGCGGGACGUUAAGUCAGCGGUAAAAUUGCGGUGCUCAACGCCGUAGAGCCGUUGAAACUGGGGUUCUUGAGUGAGCGAGAAGUAUGCGGAAUGCGUGGUGUAGCGGUGAAAUGCAUAGAUAUCACGCAGAACCCCGAUUGCGAAGGCAGCAUACCGGCGCUCAACUGACGCUGAGGCACGAAAGUGCGGGUAUCGAACAGGAUUAGAUACCCUCGUA